UGAGAUGGAGACAUCAAGAGUAACUUUUACCGCUCUUAUAUAUGGUUUACUGUUCAAUCAAAAAAUCAAUGGAGCAGAUAUCGAGCUGAAGGUCAGACCAGGAGACAACAUCACUCUCUACUGUGACCGUCCUUUAACUCGUGGUUCCAGGAUUGUAUGGAUUAGAAACUGCUCUCAUGAAAAUCAACCCUCUCUCAUUAUAGAUCAUAAGACAAUGUAUAAUAACAUCUUACCACGUUUCAGCUUUCUUCAAAACUCCAACAUUAAUUCUAUAGACCUACAUAUAACUAACAUUAAAGUCUCUGAUCUGGGACUGUACUACUGUGCUGAAUACGAAAGAAAAUUAAAUGAAGAUAAAAAUGGCACUCCCUACACAUCUGAGGUGUACUAUUAUGGAAACCGAACAACACGUCUCUCUCUCGCUGUAACUUCCUGUUCUGGACCCUCAAGCACUGUCUCUCCUCCUCCUGAAUCAAAGUGUUUGCUCUGCUGGACACUGCUCUUCAGUGUUUGUCCUGUGUGUGUU